GAAUAUGGUUAGUCCGUGCUCAGAUUUGUUUGGAGCAACACAUAAAUUUUUUCGAAAAUAAAGCCUUCCUAAAUAGUAGAAAAAAAGUCUCUGCCUCUGUCUCUGUUCCUCAAUCCGGAAUAAGAAUCGUCGAAACGCAACAAUAUAUUUCUGAAUCAUUAAAUAUGCAAAUCGUCAUUCUACAAAGGCACAUAAGCUUUAUAAUAAUAUUGAAGCUAGAUGACGCCCGUAAAACUAAAGAAGAACUAGAAGUAGUCAGGAAAUCAUCGUAACCAUACUAGUAUAUACAUACAUAUGUAUGUACAUAUGUAUGCAUGUAUAUUAUUCAAGUAACAAUCCAGAUACUCUCUAAGAAGGAAAAGGAUAUUUUAGGUAAAAAAAUGUGUGGCCUUAAUGUGAUACUGCCCGAAGACGUCGCCAAAAUAGCUAAAGGCGCGUAAUUGACUGAUUGACUUCAUUUUAACGAGAUUAAACAGCAAGCUCUCGAAACUGACGUCUAGACCGUGAGGAAAAUCCCUUUGGUUCCCAACCGAGUCAGUGCAACUGGGAAGCUUUUUAAAAAGUUGCAGUUCUCCGGAAAUUACGCAUUUUAGAUUUGAAGCAAAUUUAAUUUCAUUUGAACGCGCAAUUAAAUGAAAAGUGGAGGUCAGCGACAGGGACAACGACAGGCGACGGAGAACCUGAAGUCUAAAACGUUUAAGCUACUUAGAGUCACUUUUCUUUCCAGUGGCAUUAAACACAAAUAAAUAGUUACAAAGUGCAGUCGUGUAGAUGAAGAUGCGGUCACCGUCGAGACACCGUCAGACAUAGCAGACCCAAACUCCUCAGAGUAAAGCCACCGGCAAAGAGACUGGAAAUUGCAGCAGUGUUCACACCUUGCGGCACGUAGUCGCUGCCUUAGCGCCACUUCAUUUGACCUGUCACUUUAAACGCCUUUAAAUAUGCGAUGGAGUAACAGUAAAGUUGACUAGCUUGCACCACUUUAUGGCUCGCUUUCCAUUAUAUGUCGCGGUUGUUAGCAAUGAUGUUUUUCCUUUGCGCCUGCUUAACCUUUAAGAAACCGCCUGAGACACUAUUGUCUAAUUACCCCAGGACCAACACAGCGGCCCAGGCAGGCAACCGGCAACCGUCGUCUAUAAAGAGGUAAAAUACGACAUCAUAGCAGAGGUUGACGUUGCCGUAGCCGUAGCCGAGUUCCGUUCCCUGCCUCUGUCGCUAUGCCGCCGUUAUCGUGGAAGGGCGCAAACUGGUUUAUAAUUAAAGCGUAUUUGAUUUCUUUUACAGUAUUUUUACACAAAACAAAAUAUAAAAAAGAUGCGAAAAAUACAAAAAA